rnacentral:lncRNA from 1 species
GCAGCAGUAGCUGCAGUUGCAAGUGUCCAGGCUCUGGGCUAGGGCAGUGGUGGCACCAUCUUUUGCCCAGGCAGAUAGGGAGGCCAGGAUUGGGAACUGGAGGAUGCAGUGGACUAUGGGAACAACCUGGAGUCUGAAGAACUGGAGUUUGAGAGUUGCUGCUAAAGCCUGAGCCUGAACCAGACCCCAAAAGGGGAAGCCCUGGUCCUGGAUCAGGAGCCUCUGGCAGCCAGGAUGAGAAAGAGGAGCCAGGACUAUUUGUGGAUGAUCUGGGGUAUGGUAGCAUUGAGGACCCGGAGCUCAAGUAAGGAAGACAGAGGAAGAAGCUGAAAAGCUUCAGGAGCUACAGAAUGAAGUAGACAAGCAGAUGAAUAUAAGUCUACCUCUAGACAAUGCUAGCCCAGUGAUCAUCCAUUGAGGAGAAGAUGAAGGCUGAUGUCGCUUCCAUCUAUGUUGGCAAUGUGAACUAUGAUGCAACAGCAGAAGUGCUGGAAGCACACUUUUAUGGUUGUGGUUCAGUCAACAGCGUUACCAUACUCUUUGGCUAAUUAGAGGCCAUUCCAAGGGGUUUGUAUAUACAGAGUUCUGAAACAAAGAGUCAGAAAGGACUUCCUUGGUCUUUCUAUAUAGAGAAAGAAAGAUCAAGGUGAUCCCCAAAUAAACCAACAGACCAGGCAUCAGUACAACAGACAGGUUUUCCAGGAGUCCUGGUUCCUGGACAACAAACUAUGACAGUUCCAGCUCUCAUUUCUACAGUGGUUUUAGCAAUCGGCCCUGAGGUUGAGCUACAGGGGCCAGGCUAAAAUAAUAUAAUAUUCCCCUUAC